GUUUAUAUAGUUUAUUCAAAAUAUUACUUUUUCAUAGUAAAGAAAUUUUUUAUUUAUAAAUA
rnacentral:tRNA from 1 species